rnacentral:lncRNA from 1 species
AUCCUGGGAAGGGAAGGGAAAGGGGAGAGCAAGAUUACAAAUUGGAGACGUACGACGUCAAAACAAAUUCAAAGUUAGGAACAUAAAAGAAGGCAAGUAAAAGCUAAGUGCGAGCAGCGGUAAAAGACAUAUAAAUCAAUGUGUCGAGGACUGGAGGAGGAAACAUCGGUGAAGGUACCCUGAAUUGUCAAGACUUUGAAUAUGUAUGAGCGGGGUAUUGGUCAGCUUUUAUUUGUAUUUGUAUUUGUAUUUGUAUUUGUGUUGUUGAUAACUAAGCGUCCAGGGACUGGAGGAGGAAACAUCGGUGAAGGUACCCUGAAUUGUCAAGACUUUGAAUAUGUAUGAGCGGGGUAUUGGUCAGCUUUUAUUUGUAUUUGUAUUUGUAUUUGUAUUUGUAUUUGUAUU